rnacentral:lncRNA from 10 species
CCCAACUCAACUGGAGUCCUGAGAAGGUGAACAGACCAGGAUGGAUGGCCAGGGAACUCACCAGAAGUCCCCAGGCAUCAGAACAAGGUCGAAGCAUCCUGCCAGGUGCUCACCUUCUAGCACAUUCUUCAAGAGUUACUCUGAGGCAAGCCAGCCGCCAUGUCAUGAGGACACUCAAGCAGCACCAUGGAGAGGUCCGAUGGCGAGGAACAGAGGAUCCCCCUGCCGACAGCCAAUGAGGAACAGGCCUCCUGCCAACAGCCGUGUAAGGGGUCACCUUGGAAGCCAAUGGCCCCUCCCUGGUCAGGCUUUUACAUGACUGCAGUCCUGGCCAACAUCCUGACGGCAACCUCAUGAGAGACCUUGAGCCAGAGCCACCCACCUAAGCUGCUUAUAGGUUCCUGGCCCUCAGAAAUCACAUGAGAUCAUAAAUGUUUGCUCAAUUUGAGAUAUUUGUGAUGUAGCAAUAAAUAACAAACACACUUACCUUUCAGGGUUAUUAUGAGAAUUAAGAGUUAAUACACAUCAAACUACAACCAAACUUGCUGGGACCAGAGGCUCAAGAAAGGGCAGACAGGGCCGGGUGCAGUGGCUCAUGCCUGUAAUCCCAAUACUUUGGGAGGCCGAGGCAGGUGGAUCAUCUGAGGUCAGGAGUUCGAGACCAGCUGGCCAACAUGGUGAAACCCUGUGUCUACUAAAAAUACAAAAAUUAGCCAGGCAUGGUGGCGGACACCUGUAAUCCCAGCUACUCGGGAGGCUGAGGCAGGCCUCACUUGAACCUGAGAGCUGGAGGCUGAAGUGAGCAGAGAUCAUG